rnacentral:rRNA from 1 species
UACGUAGGGGGCUAGCGUUGUCCGGAAUCAUUGGGCGUAAAGCGCGUGUAGGCGGCCCGGUAAGUCCGCUGUGAAAGUCCAGGGCUCAACCCUGGGAUGCCGGUGGAUACUGUCGGGCUCGAGUCCGGAAGAGGCGAGUGGAAUUCCUGGUGUAGCGGUGAAAUGCGCAGAUAUCAGGAGGAACACCAAUAGCGAAGGCAGCUCGCUGGGACGGUACUGACGCUAAGGCGCGAAAGCGUGGGGAGCGAACAGG